UACGGAGGGGCUAGCGUUGUUCGGAAUUACUGGGCGUAAAGGGCUCGUAGGCGGCCAACUAAGUCAGACGUGAAAUCCCUCGGCUUAACCGGGGAACUGCGUCUGAUACUGGAUGGCUUGAAUCCGGGAGAGGGAUGCGGAAUUCCAGGUGUAGCGGUGAAAUGCGUAGAUAUCUGGAGGAACACCGGUGGCGAAGGCGGGUUGCUGGGCUGACACUGACGCUGAAGCGCGAAAGCUAGGGGAGCGAACGGG
rnacentral:rRNA from 1 species